AUGACUAGCGAUAACCUUAGGAAGAGAUACAUCAUCAAACCCCUUGAUUGUGUUUACUGCUUGGAACAAGAGUCUUGUUCUCACCUUGUUUUUGAAUUUAUAGUUGCUAAACAUCUCUGGGCCCACAUUGAGGAAUAUUUCUCUAGUCAGAUUGGCUCAUCCUUCGAAUCUGUCGCCAGAUUCUGGAUUGCUACCAAAAAGUGCUUAGUUUUAAACACUGUUAGCUCAACUGUCCUUUGGUGCCUCUGGAAAUAUAGAAAUGUUAUGAUUUUUAGUAACGCCUCCUGGAUUUCCAUUCCGCAGGUCUUGAGGUUGAUCGGGAACAUGGUGAGGAACUGGGCGAUUCUCUCCUCCGGAUCGGACAAGGACAAGUUGAUGAGCUUCGUGGAAACCCGAACAAUAUCCCUCCAGAAACCGUUGGUGAUCACUUGUGGCUGA
rnacentral:rRNA from 1 species